rnacentral:rRNA from 1 species
UGCCAGACUCCUACGGGAGGCAGCAGUGGGGAAUAUUGCACAAUGGGGGAAACCCUGAUGCAGCGACGCCGCGUGAGCGAUGAAGUAUUUCGGUAUGUAAAGCUCUAUCAGCAGGGAAGAAGAUGACGGUACCUGACUAAGAAGCCCCGGCUAACUACGUGCCAGCAGCCGCGGUAAUGCGUAGGGGGCAAGCGUUAUCCGGAUUUACUGGGUGUAAAGGGAGCGUAGACGGCGAUGCAAGCCAGAUGUGAAAGCCCGGGGCUCAACCCCGGGACUGCAUUUGGAACUGUGUGGCUGGAGUGUCGGAGAGGCAGGCGGAAUUCCUAGUGUAGCGGUGAAAUGCGUAGAUAUUAGGAGGAACACCAGUGGCGAAGGCGGCCUGCUGGACGAUGACUGACGUUGAGGCUCGAAAGCGUGGGGAGCAAACAGGAUUAGAUACCCUGGUAUGA